rnacentral:rRNA from 1 species
UCGAACGGAGCUGAGAGGAGCUUGCUUUUCUUAGCUUAGUGGCGAACGGGUGAGUAACGCGUGAGUAACCUGCCCUGGAGUGGGGGACAACAGUUGGAAACGACUGCUAAUACCGCAUAAGCCCACGGAUCCGCAUGGAUCUGCGGGAAAAGGAUUUAUUCGCUUCAGGAUGGACUCGCGUCCAAUUAGCUAGUUGGUGAGGUAACGGCCCACCAAGGCGACGAUUGGUAGCCGGACUGAGAGGUUGAACGGCCACAUUGGGACUGAGACACGGCCCAGACUCCUACGGGAGGCAGCAGUGGGGGAUAUUGCACAAUGGGGGAAACCCUGAUGCAGCGACGCCGCGUGGAGGAAGAAGGUUUUCGGAUUGUAAACUCCUGUCGUUAGGGACGAUAAUGACGGUACCUAACAAGAAAGCACCGGCUAACUACGUGCCAGCAGCCGCGGUAAAACGUAGGGUGCAAGCGUUGUCCGGAAUUACUGGGUGUAAAGGGAGCGCAGGCGGACCGGCAAGUUGGAAGUGAAAACUAUGGGCUCAACCCAUAAAUUGCUUUCAAAACUGCUGGCCUUGAGUAGUGCAGAGGUAGGUGGAAUUCCCGGUGUAGCGGUGGAAUGCGUAGAUAUCGGGAGGAACACCAGUGGCGAAGGCGACCUACUGGGCACCAACUGACGCUGAGGCUCGAAAGCAUGGGUAGCAAACAGGAUUAGAUACCCUGGUAGUCCAUGCCGUAAACGAUGAUUACUAGGUGUUGGAGGAUUGACCCCUUCAGUGCCGCAGUUAACACAAUAAGUAAUCCACCUGGGG